UACGUAGGUGGCGAGCGUUGUCCGGAUUUAUUGGGCGUAAAGGGCGCGUAGGCGGCGCACCAAGUCAGGCGUGAAAGCCCUGGGCUCAACCCGGGAAUUGCGCUUGAGACUGGUGUGCUUGAGUACGGGAGAGGAUAGUGGAAUUCCCAGUGUAGAGGUGAAAUUCGUAGAUAUUGGGAAGAACACCGGUGGCGAAGGCGGCUAUCUGGACCGUAACUGACGCUGAGGCGCGAAAGCGUGGGGAGCAAACAGG
rnacentral:rRNA from 1 species